rnacentral:rRNA from 1 species
AGCAGCCGCGGUAAUUCCAGCUCCAAUAGCGUAUAUUAAAGUUGUUGCAGUUAAAAAGCUCGUAGUUGAAUUUCGGGAUCAGUACGCCGGUCGUGCCUUCGGUAUGCACUGGUGUCACUGGUUUCUCCCUUCUGAAGAACCAUCAUGCCAUUCAGUUGGUGUGGCGGGGAAUCAGGACUGUUACUUUGAAAAAAUUAGAGUGUUUAAAGCAGGCUCGCGCUUGAAUACAUUAGCAUGGAAUAAUGAAAUAGGACGUUUGACCCUAUUUUGUUGGUUUCUAGGAUCGACGUAAUGAUUAAUAGGGAUAGUUGGGGGCAUUAGUAUUCAAUUGUCAGAGGUGAAAUUCUUGGAUUUAUUGAAGACUAACUACUGCGAAAGCAUUUGCCAAGGAUGUUUUCAUUAAUCAAGAACGAAAGUUAGGGGAUCGAAGACGAUCAGAUACCGUCGUAGUCUUAACCAUAAACUAUGCCGACUAGGGAUCGGAUGAUGUUAAUUUUUUAAUGACUCAUUCGGCGCCUUACG